CGAUCUCGUGCCCAUCGAAGUCAGACCUCAGCACAAUCUUCAACCAUGGGCCAUGGAUAUUUUUUCCUUCCGUGUCUCAGAGGUAAGAGGAUGAUACCGCAUCGUUCACUGGUCAAUGGUCACCGGCCUAGACGUCAUCACUUUGGAGUUUGGAUCCAAGAUGAGGCCCAUUUCUUUCUCCGUGACGCGUAGUUUAUGGUGCGCACUUUCGCUUUUGCAAGCCGAACUCAGCAACCAAGCUGAUGCCUUGAACAGAUUUUGAUCAAACUCGAGAUACUCAGUUCGCGAAACUCGCCUAAAGAUUGACGGCGUGGAGAUGGAGGAAUCCCAGAUAGAAAAGAGACCAAAAAAGGGACUCUUGGGGUUGAUGUUGAGGCCAGUGCACUGGUUCAAAAUGCUUGGUCAAGAGCUGCAUUGGAGCUUUGUCGUAGGAGUGAUGAUAGUUUAUGGUAUCAGUCAGGGGCUUGGCGUGGGCUUGAGCAGAGUCAGUACCCAAUACUACAUGAAGGAUGAGCAGAAGGUGCAGCCCUCUGAAGCACAGGUCUACUUUGGGUUGCUUCAAAUUCCUUGGAUUAUCAAGCCCCUAUGGGGUCUCCUUACUGAUACUCUUCCUAUUCUUGGGUACCGCAGGCGGCCUUACUUCGUUUUUGCAGGUUUUCUUAGCAUGAUCACAAUGCUUGUGCUAUCAUUACAGAAGAACUUGCAUCUCGCAUUUGCUUUGCUGUCGCUAAUGGCAGGAAGUGCUGGAAUAGCUAUUGCAGAUGUGACCAUUGAUGCUUGUGUGACACAGAACAGCAUAAGUAAUCCAUCUCUAGCUGGUGAUAUGCAAAGCUUGUGUGGACUCAGCUCUUCCAUUGGGGCUCUUGUGGGAUUCUCGCUCAGUGGCUUUUUGGUUCACAUAGUUGGUCCUAAGGGUGUGUUUGGGUUGCUCAGUAUCCCAGCAGGCCUGAUCAUUUUGGUUGGCAUAAUGCUGAGAGAAUCCCAUGCACAUAGAUUUGCUUACAGAGGGGUAAAUGAGAAGCUUCUGGAUGCUGGUAAGGCUAUGUGGACAACGCUCAAAUGUCGGGAAGUCUGGAGGCCUUGUUUAUACAUGUACUUAUCACUUGCAGUGAGCUUAAAUGUUCAUGAAGGAAUGUUCUAUUGGUAAACAGAUGCAAAGGGGGGUCCAUCUUUCUCGCAGGAGGUUGUUGGGUCCAUAUUCUCAAUAGGUGCUGUUGGUUCCCUCUCUGGUGUGCUUAUCUACCAAAAUUUGUUAAAGAACCAUCCUUUUCGAGGCAUACUUUUCUGGUCGCAGUUGUUGUAUGGUGUCUCAGGAUUGCUAGAUUUGAUACUUGUCUUGCGUGUGAACUUGAGAAUCGGUUUACCAGAUUACUUUUUUGUUGUGAUUGAUGAAGCGAUUUCUCGAAUGAUUGGACGCGUUAAGUGGAUGCCUCUUCUUGUGCUUAGUUCCAAGCUUUGCCCUGCUGGCAUAGAGGGCACUUUCUUUGCUUUGCUCAUGUCAAUUGAUCAUGUUGGUAUGCUUUCAUCAACUUGGGCAGGAGGUCUCUUGCUCCAUGUCUUGAAGGUUACACGAACACAAUUUGAGAACCUCUGGAUGGCCAUUUUGAUCCGGAGCAUGUUGAGAAUGGUUCCGGUAAGCCUGCUGUUUAUGAUACCCAGAAGCGAUCCAAACUUAUCCAUCCUUCCAGCAGAGAUGUUGAAGACAAAAAAAGGUGAUGAUAUGCUUGAAACUGGAAAUCUUGAAAUGGCCUCGCUUGUUGAGAACUCUUGAAAUAAGGAAUGGAAAAAUGGCAUCUAGGAAAUUGCUAGUUCCUACAUGACGACUAAUAGUUAGGUCCCAAGGUGUCUUUCUAUUCAAGGAUUAGCAUAGCAGCUGAAAAAGGUCCAAUCAUGGAGGAUGUAACUUCUAACCAUGAUUUCUUUCCAUUUUACACGGUCCACAGAAUAGAAUGGCUUGGUCAAUGUUAGCAGUUAUUAUUCCUAAACAUUCCUUUCAAUCUGAGCAUCAAGCGGACAAUUUUGUGUACUUGACCAUGUAAUAUUCCAGGUGAGAAAAGUUAAAAGCACUAGAAUCAAAUUGAGGUAUAAGCACAUAUUUUUUGUACAAUUUUUUUCAAGUGAUACCUCCAACAUUGGAAAUUUCCACGGGCCCAUUUAUGUUUGUUUUUGUUGGAUAAAUUUUGCAGAUCCUAAUAGACCCAUCUUGUUUUGCAUAUUCAUU
rnacentral:misc_RNA from 1 species